CAGUGUUCACAGUAAAACUGUAACUUAAAGCAGGUACAGCCUCAGUGUUCACAGUAAAACUGUAACUUAAAGCAGCUACAGCCUCAGUGUUCAUAGUAAAACUGUAACUUAAAGCAGGUAGAGCCUCAGUGUUCACAGUAAAACUGUAACUUAAAGCAGGUACAGCCUCAGUGUUCACAGUAAAACUGUACCUUAAAGCAGGUACAGCCUCAGUGUUCACAGUAAAACUG